CGGGUCAGAUUUUAUUGAGAAAAACAUCCACGGUCACAAUGUAUUUAAUGUUAAUAAUUAAAGGUCAAAGUACGGCCUUCAAGACGGAGCAUUGGCUCACCUCGAACAGUAAUCUCAGCUUGUUUUUGCAUAAAAUUGCUUCCAGGUUCAACCAAUACUGAUGUUUCUUAAAGUAAGGAAAUCGAAUGAAAAAGGGUCCUGAUGAAGGUAAAUCCAGAAAAGCGCUUCGGACGCAAUAACUUAUUAAACGUGUUGUUUUCCAUUUUUUUUAGCCAUUUUAAUGAGAGGAAAAAAUCUGCGGGGGCUGUGCCCCAACCCCCUCUUUUAGGGGCCUCAUUCGGGGGCCCUCAAACCCCUGCCUCCCCUGAAUUCGAACCCUAGUUACGGCCCUGGUUAUAAAGCUUAGCUUUAUACUUAGGACUAUCAACAUAAUAUCAAUGAUUAGUAUAGAAGGCA
rnacentral:lncRNA from 1 species